rnacentral:rRNA from 1 species
GACGUAGGUGGCAAACGUUAUCCGGAAUUAUUGGGCGUAAAGGGUGCGUAGAUGGCCUGAUAAGUUAGCAGUGGGAAAUCGAGGCUCAACCUCGUGGAAGCUGGUAAUACUGUCAGGCUCGAGUGCAGGAGAGGUUAACGGAACUCCAUGUGGAGCGGUAAAAUGUGUAGAUAUAUGGAAGAACACCAAUAACGGCGAAGGCAGUUAACUAUUCUGUUGCUGACAUUGAGGCACGAAAGCGUGGGGAGCAAAACGG